UGUAGGUAGAAAACCAAGGCCUGCCGAACAUCGAGGGAGUGAAGUCUUGGUUCCUCUGUGGAAACGUGGGGUUUUGGGGAGAACAUAGAAUGAAGCCAAAGCUGCAGACACUGAAGGUUCCAACCCACAUCAUGUGGCGGUGAGAAGGAACUGGAGAGAUUGUUGGUCCGCCCUGACUUUUACCUCCUUGGUUGAAGGCAUGAGAUGACAGGAGACAAAGGGAUGAGGAGAGCUUAUAUGCACCAAAAGCGGUUGGACCCACGGUCGGAGUGAGUGAAGAGUGGGAGGGAAAGAAAGCCAGGACAGGAUUUGGAUCUCAGCCCAAUCUUGUGAGGUGACUGGCCUUAAUUCAAUUUCAGGCUUUUUUUAAACAUUCAAAAACACUUUAAAUAUCCUGCUAAUUCCUCUUUCAUAGUUAAUGUUAAAGGGUAGAAACAGCGUAAGACAAUAGAGGAAAAAUACCCAGAGCAAGGGUGAACUGAACACUAGGAAAGGAAGGAGACAAAAGCAAGGACAUUCACCGAGGGAGCCCACAGCACAGGAAAAAGUUGUGAAAAUAGGAAAGCAGAAAGUGCAAAUAACGGCUGGAUAAAGGAACACCAGCACAAUUAUACUAGAAGACAAAAAAGAAACAAAAUAAGAUAAAAAAAUUCCUGUUAUGACUAUGGGUCUCAUUUUCAUUUACCUUAAGAGCAGCUGUUAGGAGUGGUGAAAAGGGGCCUUACGAUAAAUGAGAAUCAGGCGCAUGGUGUACAGAAUGAAAAAGCAUGGAGAGAUAUAAAGUACCCAGUAAGA